GAUGAACGCUGGCGGCGUGCCUAAUACAUGCAAGUCGAGCGAACAGACGAGGAGCUUGCUCCUCUGACGUUAGCGGCGGACGGGUGAGUAACACGUGGAUAACCUACCUAUAAGACUGGGAUAACUUCGGGAAACCGGAGCUAAUACCGGAUAAUAUAUUGAACCGCAUGGUUCAAUAGUGAAAGACGGUUUUGCUGUCACUUAUAGAUGGAUCCGCGCCGCAUUAGCUAGUUGGUAAGGUAACGGCUUACCAAGGCAACGAUGCGUAGCCGACCUGAGAGGGUGAUCGGCCACACUGGAACUGAGACACGGUCCAGACUCCUACGGGAGGCAGCAGUAGGGAAUCUUCCGCAAUGGGCGAAAGCCUGACGGAGCAACGGCGCGUGAGUGAUGAAGGUCUUCGGAUCGUAAAACUCUGUUAUUAGGGAAGAACAAAUGUGUAAGUAACUAUGCACGGCUUGACGGUACCUAAUCAGAAAGCCACGGCUAACUACGUG
rnacentral:rRNA from 1 species